ACGCCCUUUUACCCCCUCUCUCAUCUCUUCUCUCUAUCUAAACCUAACCCUAGUGCCGCCCCUUCCCCCUUUCCCUCUCUCCUUCCUAGAUUGCCAAAAAUGGCAUCAAUUCAGAGAGGUCAGACGCAUGUCAGCCUUAACACAACCAAAUCAGUGCAACAUUUAAAGCUUCGUUGUCUUUUUCUUCCAAUUUCUACCAAACAACACCUACGAUGUUGCUGAGUGUGGGAUUGGAAGCACAAGGCUCCAAGUUUGACUCUUGAUAUGACUGCACAAAAAAGGUAGCAAUUUAUCUUGUUAUUAUUUUAUUUAUUUAUUCAUUCAAGUGUCAAUUUAUAUGAUAUGUUGCUUAGUUAAGUAUUAUCCUAUUAAUCUCAUAUUUAGUUCAAGUGUUUAUUCAUACUUGUAUGGUUCAAGUAAUGAUGAUGUAGUUGUUGUUAUUGGUUCCAAACUUUGGUCUUGUGGUGCUAAAACCCUCUUUAUGGUUUUAAGGAUAAUCAUAAUAGAAAUAUAUGCUCAUAUGAAGUUAAAAUAUUUAUAUUGUCUCAAGGAGUUAAUCACUUAGUUUAAAAGGGUUAAAAUCCUAAAAGAAGAGAAAAGGAUAAGAAGUUGAUAUGAACCUGCUUAAAUCCCUUCUUAUGAGUCUGUUAGUAUAAGAAUUAUGUGGAUUGGUAUUUGUUUGCCCAGGCUGGGACUUGUAUGAACACAUGAAAUAAUUUAAGUAUAUUUACUAAUAUCUGUGAAUGUCUUAUAUAUUUGAAUACUUCAGAAUGUGUUUGUUGAUUUGAUUGAAUGAGUCUAGAAGGUCAACAAGUGUGAGUGCACUUAAACAAGUCCAAAUCUGAUUAAGAAGCAUUUGAAGGUGAUUGGAUAAGACCUGGUCCCUGAAUUGCUCAAGUCUGUCUGAGUAAUGUUUGAGUUAGCCUAAAUCUGUCUGAAUAUAUAUAUGAACUAACUUGAACAUGAUUUUGACAUGGUUUGUUUGUUGCAAAUUUAGGUAAAACAUGGGAUAGUUAGAGAUCCUUAAUGAUGGUGUGUGAACCAACAAAUAAAAACAUACUGCAUCCUCUUAUCUUGAACUUUGAUCUAGUCUAGCUAAUCAAUAAUAAACUAGAAGAUCCUAGAGGCACUUUACUUGGUCUGUCCAGGAUUUAGAGUGUUUGAAAUGAAUUGUGUGCAUGAAACUGAAUUUUUCUAUUCUUUAAAAUUAGGCAUUGGUUCUUUUUUAAUCUAGAGCUUGAAUCAUAGGAAAGAAUAGGAAAAGAAUAAGUGUAGGUUGGGACCCCUUUGAUUCUUUGAUGUGUUGCUCCCUUUCCCCCCGUCUCUGUGUUUGACUUUGCCCUUUUUUGACUGAGUCUACCUAAAUUGCUUCAUAAGCAGUUCAUGAUUUACCUGGAAGUUGGUAUCAACAAAGAAAUGAUGGUAAGAAAUGAACCUACAAGUGAUUGUAUUUAGAGAAGAAAUAUGCUUGUUGUGGUUUUGUCUUGAUUUGCACUAUCCUGAAGAUCAACCUUAAAUUGGAUGUCUAUGUGGUUUUAAAUUCUGUGAAGGUUAAGAGGGAAUUCAAAAACGCUUUUAUAAUUAAGAUCCUAGGUUGAGUUAACUGGAAUUGUUAACUUGUGCCAAUGUAAACUCGGUGUUUAGCUGGGAUUUGAUUUAAAGGUAGUGUUAAACUAAUCUUAACCACAAAAGUCUCAGUGGUUUCCACUGGGUAUGAGGAUGAGGUAAGGAGUUGAGAGUGCCUUAUGAGAGUAAAAGGUAAGCUUAGGCAUGAACUGGAAGUAAUGACCAGUGGAGCCUUUGCUUCUUUUUUACUGAAAGUCAGGAAAGGGUUGGGGAGGUGAUGACCUCACCCUGUCCUGCUUCUCUUUUAGGACCCUGAGGUCCCCUUUUUCUCCUGAACCUCAUUCCUAUGGCUGUGGGAUACAUAGAGGUCUUAUGUUUGGUUAAAGAGAAGUUUAACCAUGCAUGGGAGGAUCUUUGAGAUCUUAUGCUACCAAAACCAAGUUAGAAUAAAGCAUAUCGGCCUAUCACAUUCUCUGUCAUGACCAAAGGGAUUAAAAACUGCACGAUCACCAGAAUUCUGGGGGAAAAUAACUAAGAGGCCAACCUAUGCCAAUAUUUAUUUAUGUCAAUGUUUAUCAAGUGUUAGAUGGGGAUUGGUUCAAAAUAAUAGUGUUUAUAGAGUCAUAAGUGUCCAAGGUCAAGCUAUGAACAACUUGAUAUAAGAGAAGCCUUUUAAAGACACUUCAAAGAGAGGAUUGAGAAGGGCCAAGUUCAACUUGGCUCAUGGUACCUCUCCUCCAAAUAAGGAGUGUCAUGACACUCUCUAUAAGUCUAUGGGGUGGUGCUUGUCAUAUGAAUGCAUUUGACUUUGCAACCCCAUCAUUAGAUCAAGGGGAAAGGGGUACCAUUGAGUGUAUCUUAUUCAAACAGUCUGAUAGGGACAAAGAUGGAAUCUGUCUGCGUGAAAUAAUUGAUUUUCUUUGAACUUGGAUUUGACAAAUUGAAGUCUUAAUGAUCAAAUGGUUUGUUUUGGAGUGAACACUAAAGCAUUGUAGCAUGUUUAAUUUGUUUGAACUGUUCUGUGUCAUCCCCUAUCUCUAAAUUUUUCUUUUCUUUUCUGUCUUGUGCAUUUGUUGCUUAAUGGAUUGAAUGAAUUGAGAUUUGAAGUAUUGCCCCUUUUUCUUCCCGGGAACUGUCUAGUUUGAUACUCUUCUGCACUACUUUGGUUGUUCAAAUUUGUUUGAAAUCCUGAGUUCUCUAAACUGAUGGACACCCCUAAGACUUUGAGGAACUGGAUGCAGCUUGAGGCUAUGCUAUUUGUUUUCUUUUUCCUGAAUUGAUGAGCCUUGUACUCUUUCUAUUUCUAUGCCUUUGGUUGAGCACCAAACUGUCAUCUUCUAUUUUUUUUUUCUUUGCUUGUGCUCAGUUUAUCAUUUGAGUGCACAUUUUUGUCUUCGUUGUUAGCUCUAUCCAGAGUCAGGAGCAGCCUAGUAUUUAAUAAAAAUUCUUGUAAUUGUCCUAAUUGACUGAUUAGACAUUCAGAGAUUGUAGUAAGCUUGAAUAAACCAUCAUAUCAUGAUAGUUUAAUCAUUUUGAAACUAAGUAUCAAUCUUAGCUUAGGUAUGAACAUUUCUUUAAGCUCAAAAGAUAAUCAGGUGGUAGAUUUGAUUAUGGACUUAGGAUUUAUGCUUAAGACUUAGGACUAGGUACAUAGGGAUAUACAUGUUAUAUACCCUUGAUAUACGCAGGUGAUAUACACAUGACCUGCGUAUAUCAUGGCAUAUAGGGUGUACAUUUGAAUAAGUCGGCUUUAUAAAAAUGAGUACAAAGGAGAUAGAACUCUUUAGGUUUAAAUGUCAGCCCAAUACUCAGCAUAAAUCUGAGCCUAGCCCAUCUCAUUUAGUGUAAGAAAUAGCCCAUAUUUACACUUAGCCAAAUAAAGAGCUCGGGCAGAACUUUAGAAGUGUAUCGAUGGCCCUUUAAUGCCCAAAUAUAAAACUGUACAUGUAUAUAUAUGUGUGUUUCAUUUUAUGUAUAUGCAUACUUAUAUAUAUAAUAGCGAUAAGUUCAGUAGUAUAAUUUCUAACCGAGUUUCCCCUUUUGUUUCUCCUCUUCAUUGCACGCCAAUUGGGGCUGGUCAAACCAAGCCUGUUGGGCUGAGGCCCAACAGACCAAUUCUUUCAAAUUAUGGUUGAGUCCAAUGAAGAAAUGGAAGCUAACAUAUAUAUUAAACGCGUAGAAGGUUCUAGCCAUGGGUGAAAAUGGCCAACUAGGGACUUGGUACACCCCUAGCCUGCCCUUGUCCUUUCUAUUUUUAUUUAUUCAUGCUCUCUUUUAUUUGUAAGUUUGUUGUAUUUGUACUUGUAAGAAUUUGUAAAAACCUCAUAAUCUAUUGGAAUCCUUAUUGUAUGA